rnacentral:lncRNA from 1 species
UAAGCUCGAGCUAAACAUCGCACCGCCAUGAGGAGCAUUUACAUAUCGAUUUUGCUAAUGCUUGCAUUACUGAAGAUUAUCGCUAUUGGCCAUCCAAUUAAGCAACAAGGAGACCCUGAAGCCAUCAUAAUAAUUAUGACUGGGCAACGAGUAGAAAAACCAAAUAUUGAGUCGACUCUCGAGCAGACAGACCAGAAGCCGAAAGACCGAUGGCUGAAGCACUGGGUAAAGAGGAUAUUAAAGAACAAAAAUGGCAGAUGACUCUCCCGAUCGAUACAGUGGACCUCGGUGAGAAUGCAAGACUUGUGGUGAUGAGGAAAAUGCGGUGUUUUGGUCUGAAGAAAUCCAAACAAUAUUUGUUUUGCCGACACCGGCGUAGGACACGUAAACAACUCUAGACUUAAAAAGUUUUAAACUUGAAUUAUAAAUUUCAUUAGAGGUGUAAAUCUAAACUGUUAUCGCAUACGCUUUCGUCAAGAUGAUGUUAAAGUAAACUAUUUAUAGAAUUUUUUAGCCCGUUUGCUAAGCUCGUGUGAGAUAAUUCUGUGCAAGGUCUACAACUACCGUUGUAAAGGGGCGUUCUGAUACUGUACGACCGGAAAGAGUCCGAAAGUUAUCUGAACCGCAUUGCUCUUGUUGAUUUAUUUGUUUGACAUCUUUACAGUUGAGAUGAAAAAGAAGAACUGCAGAGAGUGAAUUAAACUAAAACAGAUGUGGGCCUGUAAAAGAAAUAAUCACUAACAGUCGCCAUGGCCAUUUAAUAUGUCAUCAGCCGAAAGACGGCAAAAUGCCAGAGCUAGCAGACAGGGCUAUUAAAAUAGAAUUACGCAAACGUGUUGUUUGAGUACAUGUUAUGACCAAGAUAAACAGAGAUCAGCAGUGUAGGUUAGUAUAACAUACAGGUCAGUCAAAUCUUCUUAUCACGCCUCUCCUUAGCACGGAGCAUAACACCUCUGCGGAGAUAUCAGGCGACUCAGGCAAAUACGUUCCCUCCAGAAAUUGUCUUCAAAGUGAAAUUCAAGCUAUCAGUGUCGGUCUGUUCUAAAGAACUCAUAAACUGCAAACUCGGACAAAAAGCAUGCUCUAUUACAGUAGAUGCAUAUCAGAGAUUUUUUGCGCCUUUGAGAUAGAGGAAAGUAUGCGCUCCCUGUAGCUCUCCAACAGUUGAAUAAUACAGUCCGCUUGUCACAAUAAUACCAAAUUUGGGCAUACUGUAGGGCCAGAUUUUGGCUUUUAAGAUUUCAUGAGUCCAGCGUUAAGGUUCAGGAUGUGGUUUACAAAUCGACACUCAGUAGUUUCCGUCUGGAAAUAAAAAAAACUUUCGUAUAGUAGCGCAUGUUGUUAUUAUCUUCCGGAUGAAGCAGUCAAAGUCAGUUACACAACAAACACUCAGCUCGCAUCUUUGGGGAAAUUAAACCAAGUGUCUGAAUUAUUAUAUUAUCAGGCACUAGAAUGUGUUUGCAGAGAAGAUUAUUUAAAAUUCUUUGCAGUAUUUCAUCUUCCUAUCAUCUGCCCCACGGUCAAGAAAUAGGGAAUUGUGAAUUAGUUAAUUGCAUUAUUACCAAUCCGGAUAAGUGGAAUUUUCGGAAUUAUUUUAAUUCACGAACAAAAGUUGCAACAUUUACGUAUCAGGAAUUUAUUGUCACAUUUUAUGUACCAGAAAUACAUUCAAAAAAAUACUUCUCGCCCGAUCCCUCACAAUUUCACACAUUUCAAGUGUUUGUCGUUGCCGAGAUAUGGACAGCUCAGAGGGUGUCUUUUAUGGCAACUGAAAGUUUAUUUCUCUUGCGGUUUUACCCACAAAGCAAUCAGUGACCAAGGGAAUGAAGGCAAAGAGGCCACAUCUUUUCUGUUGGAGUUUCGCGUUGAGAGGGAAAGUGAGAAAGAUAUGGAGUGAUCCAUUUUUGUUUCAAACGUCUUUCUCGCUUUCUGCUAUCUGGAAUGCACAGAACAUAAUCGAUAGCGGCCAUGUGAUCAUGUCUCGUGUUCUAUGACGACUAUUUUACCCGUGUUUAUUUUCUUCCGUCAUCAGCUUGUGCAUCAUCACACGUAGAACACAUUUAAAGACCGGACGUAUAAUACUUAAAAAUAUAAAUGAUGAUCAAUCAGAUCAUAAGGCAAACAACUAUCCGUAUAUUUCUGAAAAUGAACAGCCGCCAGAAGCACGAGUUCAAGUGAAAUAUAUGAAGGUAUCGCAUUAACACGACAGAGCAACGAUUCAGUGGAUAAUCAUUUUAUGAGCGACUUUCGCAAUUAAUCGGAGUAAAGUGAAUUGGUAUUUUUCUGAUUUAUUUCCUUCCACUAAUUUGCUAAAGUCAAUCAUUGCACCUCAUCAUCAAGCAAUUAUAUUGAAUAGCUCUAAUGCAUUCCUUAAUCGUUGAGGAACGGAUCUCUCCAAGAUGGCAUCCAAAGACGUUUAAUUUACCGGCUACCCCGUUUUAGCAACGAUGUCAAGUAGG